GCGAGUGAAGCGGGAUGAGCUCAAAUUUGUAAUCUGGUGGACUCAGUUCAUCCGAGUUGUAAUCUAUAGAAGUGUUUUCCGCGCUGGACCGUGUCUAAGUCCCUUGGAACAGGGUGUCAGAGAGGGUGAGAAUCCCGUGCUUGAUACGAUCACCAGUGCUAUGUGAUACACUUUCAACGAGUCGAGUUGUUUGGGAAUGCAGCUCAAAAUGGGUGGUAAAUUCCAUCUAAAGCUAAAUAUUGGCGAGAGACCGAUAGCGAACAAGUACCGUGAGGGAAAGAUGAAAAGCACUUUGGAAAGAGAGUUAAACAGUACGUGAAAUUGUUAAAAGGGAAACGAUUGAAGUCAGUCGUGCUCUCUGGGACUCAGCCGGUUCUUCCGGUGUACUUCCCAGUGAGCGGGUCAACAUCAGUUUAGAUCGCUGGAUAAAGGUAUUAGGAAGGUGGCUCCCUCGGGAGUGUUAUAGCCUAGUAUCGCAUACAGUGGUUUAGACUGAGGAACGCAGCUCGCCUUUAUGGCCGGGGUUCGCCCACGUCCGAGCUUAGGAUGUUGACAUAAUGGCUUUAAACGACCCGUCUUG
rnacentral:rRNA from 1 species